GUAGGUGGCAAGCGUUGUCCGGAAUUAUUGGGCGUAAAGCGCGCGCAGGCGGUUCUUUAAGUCUGAUGUGAAAGCCCACGGCUCAACCGUGGAGGGUCAUUGGAAACUGGAGAACUUGAGUACAGAAGAGGAAAGCGGAAUUCCACGUGUAGCGGUGAAAUGCGUAGAGAUGUGGAGGAACACCAGUGGCGAAGGCGGCUUUCUGGUCUGUAACUGCCGCUGAGGCGCGAAAGCGUGGGGAGCAAACAGGAUUAGAUACCCUGGUAGUCCACGCCGUAAACGAUGAGUGCUAAGUGUUAGGGGGGUUUUCCGCCCCCCUUAGUGCUGCAGCUAACGCAUUAAGCACUCCGCCUGGGAGUACGGCCGCAAGGCUG
rnacentral:rRNA from 1 species